CAGCAGCCGCGGUAAUACGUAGGUGGUAAGCGUUGUCCGGAAUUAUUGGGCGUAAAGGGCUCGCAGGCGGUUUCUUAAGUCUGAUGUGAAAGCCCCCGGCUCAACCGGGGAGGGUCAUUGGAAACUGGGAAACUUGAGUGCAGAAGAGGAGAGUGGAAUUCCACGUGUAGCGGUGAAAUGCGUAGAGAUGUGGAGGAACACCAGUGGCGAAGGCGACUCUCUGGUCUGUAACUGACGCUGAGGAGCGAAAGCGUGGGGAGCGAACAGGAUUAGAUACCCCCGUAGUCCCUGUCUCUUAUAC
rnacentral:rRNA from 1 species